rnacentral:lncRNA from 1 species
UGGGUUCCCCCACCUGUGGUUGGAGGAAUGUUAAUUAGCCUCUCCCUUCCCGGAGGGGAGGGGUGCUCAAGUGUUAGUUCCUGAGCUGACCUCUUCACCAUCCCCCAUGAGGUGGUACUGAGUUCUGUAAGAAAGCAAGCUGAACAAGCCCAGAGAAGCAAGCAGCGCUACUCCAAGGUGCCUUUCAUGGGCUUCUGCCUGCAGAUUCUGUCCUGCAGGGUUCCUGCCCACACUGCUUUUGAUAAUGAACUGUUUGGAACUGCUUUGGUCGGGGCGUUUCAUCUCAGCAAUAGUAGCCCUAAGACACCAUCCACCUUACAAUCGCACUAAUAGAGAAACCAGUAGGCAUUCAGGAAGAAAACUGAACGAAGCCUAUACAGUUCUCAGAGUCUACCUUGUGAAAUGUUUUAGGCUAAGAAGAGUCCAGCAACAGCUAACUGAGAGACCUGAAUAAAAGGGUAAAUUAAAAAAAAGAAAGAGAAAAAGAAAAAGAUGAAAACAAGUCUGCUCUGCAAAGUCCGAACCUCCGCAUCCCGCGUGGCUCUUCAUCAGCAUCGGAGAUCAAGAGUGUGUUUGUUUGCUCCACAGAAAGAAGCCAGUAUGCCCUGAGGGCACUCCAGGUGGAUAGUGGCCAACCUGUGAUGAGAUAGAGGCUACAAAGAAUCAAUACCUGGAAAUCUGUGUAGUACGUAGAGGACAAAACAUUCCUGUGGGUUUAGAGACCUUAAAGACUUUUACAGAGAAUGAAGACAAACUUUGAGUUGCAGUAAAACCAGGAUGUGAGAAAUAAUAGUCCCCAAAGUAUGAAAAAUGAGAAAGAGACAUCCCAGGUUCAGUUGGAGCUGGGUAGCAGGGCUCCAAUGAUAACAGUUACAGCCACGAUGUUCAGUGCUUCUUUAUAAAUAGACACCAGGGACAAAGAUAUUAGGACUUGGUGGACCCAAGGGACAGAAGAACUCUGGGCUUCGGUUUUUCCAGUUGGACUGUUAAGGUACUAAUUAAUAUCCUAGCUCUCCUAAUUUCUGUUCUGGACCACCUACAGCUUUUGAUGUCAGUCCUCAAAGCUGAGCAAAGGAGUGAGCACACGACAGAGUCACACUAAUGAAAGGAACUACAGCUAACAGGAUUGGGUAUAAGCUGGGGUGGUCCUCUGGCUGCCGCAUGAGACAGAGUCAGGGGAAUGGUCUAAAAAUAUGAUGGGCGUAGGGUUAGGGAUGCAGCUCACUGGUAGAAGUCUUACCUCACAUGCAUAAGGUCCUGGAUAGAAACGCCACCGCAAACAA